UGACUCAGUACGGCGAGUGAAGCGGCAACAGCUCAAUUUGAAAUCUGGCCCUAGGCCCGAGUUGUAAUUUGCAGAGGAUGCUUUUGGUGCGGUGCCUUCCAAGUUCCCUAGAACGGGACGCCAGAGAGGGUGAGAGCCCCGUACAGUUGGACACCAAGCCUUUGUAAAGCUCCUUCGACGAGUCGAGUAGUUUGGGAAUGCUGCUCAAAAUGGGAGGUAUAUUUCUUCUAAAGCUAAAUACCGGCCAGAGACCGAUAGCGCACAAGUAGAGUGAUCGAAAGAUGAAAAGCACUUUGAAAAGAGGGUUAAACAGCACGUGAAAUUGUUAAAAGGGAAGCGCUUGUGACCAGACUUGCGUCCGGUGAAUCACCCAGCUCUCGCGGCUGGGGCACUUCGCCGGCUCAGGCCAGCAUCAGCUCGCUGUCGGGGACAAAAGCUUCAGGAACGUAGCUCUCUUCGGGGAGUGUUAUAGCCUGUUGCAUAAUACCCUUCGGCGGGCUGAGGUACGCGCUCCGCAAGGAUGCUGGCAUAAUGGUCAUCAGCGACCCGUCUUGAAACACCGGACCA
rnacentral:rRNA from 1 species